AGCAGACAUGAGAGAGUAAACACCAGGACCAGGAUUGGAUCCAUGGCAGCUUUCUCUUCUCAGG
ensembl:miRNA predicted gene, 23800